CCAAUAGCGUAUAUUAAAGUUGUUGCAGUUAAAAAGCUCGUAGUUGAAUUUCGGGAUUCGUCCAUUGGUCAGGCUUAACUGUCUGUACUGAUGUGUCGGAUUUCUACCUUCUGAAGAACCUUCAUGCCAUUAAUUUGGUGUGUUGGGGAAUCAGGACUGUUACUUUGAAAAAAUUAGAGUGUUUAAAGCAGGCUAACGUCUGAAUACAUUAGCAUGGAAUAAUGAAAUAGGACGGUACGGUUCUAUUUUGUUGGUUUCUAGGAUCGCCGUAAUGAUUAAUAGGGAUAGUUGGGGGCAUUAGUAUUCAAUUGUCAGAGGUGAAAUUCUUGGAUUUAUUGAAGACUAACUACUGCGAAAGCAUUUGCCAAGGAUGUUUUCAUUAAUCAAGAACGAAAGUUAGGGGAUCGAAGACGAUCAGAUACCGUCGUAGUCUUAACCAUAAACUAUGCCGACUAGGGAUUGGACGAUGUUAAUUUUUUAAUGACUCGUUCAGCACCUUACG
rnacentral:rRNA from 1 species